CUUUCCAACACUCUCUCUUACUGCUGUGAUCUGGGAAGCUUGUCCUGAUACAGAGGGGCAACACUCAGCUUUCACAUGGCAGACAACUUUCAAGGCUCUCCCAAAACCAGAGGAAGAGAUCCAGAAUCUCAUGGAGUCUUGGAUUUGGUAGAAAGCCAGGAAGUUGUCUGGUCCAUGCCCCAUGGAGAAGAGAAAGCCCAGUCAAGGCCCUACUGAGCACUCCCCAGGUGUGGCACAUGCUGCUGUGGGGAGCCAGUUCUCUCCAUGGGCCUCUCGUGUUUCUGCAUAUCUCAGGAGGAGAGACAUCAACUAUCUUUUCAAUAUCCACAGAUCCGUUUCAAGCAUUCACAGAACCAGAAAGAGCCCGAAGUGGUCAUUCAUGCCAUACUGGUGACUUGGAGCAAGACUACUCUAUCCAAUUCAGGAUGGUGGCUCAUUUGACUUUUCAUGAGUCCCUGGGGGGCUUUCUACAGCAGUAUCACAGAACUAUGCAAUGAAUAAUUAUGAAUAAAUGAAGGC